rnacentral:misc_RNA from 1 species
UAAAUUAAACAAUUAAUUAACAAAAACAAAAAGUAAAAUAAUCAAAUUAACAAUAAAUUAAUAAUACCCAUAUAAAAUAAACAACUAAUAUCUAAUUAACAAGAAAAAAGCAAAAUUAAUCAAACUAAAACUAAUUAACAAGAAUAACAAGUAAAAGGCAAACUAAUUAAUAACAAAUUAACAAUACCCAUAUAAAUUGAACAAUUAAUUAACAACAAUAAAAAGUAAAAAAAUCAAAUU